rnacentral:lncRNA from 1 species
CCUUGUCUUGCAUUUCAGAUCUCACUGAAGAGUUCUUCUGUGCCUGGAAGACUUAUUUUCAGUCUGAGAAGAAUGAUUUUUCAAUGGUUCUGUUGAACAUGCAAUUCUCACGGAAAGCACCAGAUUUCCGCGUAGGAGGGACUCGGGGGCAACGAUGCAAUUGGAAGGACUGCACCGAAAAUGACGAUGUCUUCUCAUGCAUAUGAAUUAUCCAAAGUGUAGGAAGAUGCGCCCCCACUGGAGUACGCUGAAGCCUUUAACCCAAGUACAUUUAAUGCUGCGAAGCCCCGAGUGAGGCAAAGGUGUCUUUUUAUUUUAGAAGACAUUUAGGACAGUUCAUGUCACUCUGCACAGAUGCACUGAAAUUGAUUGUGGGGCAAACUAUAAAGAGAGCUUAUGCUCCCCAAAUCUGUUUCCGAGCCAGGUAGGAUGAUGAAUUCUGAGGUGGGACUGAGGGGGAACGGUGGCAGCUCUCUCCCCUGCACGCACCGGCCAACUACUUCCCCGUUUGGACAUUGGCGUGACACCCUCCUUCCCUGUUCAUCUGUGAAAAUGUGCAGCGUUUUCAUUUAAAACCUCCUGCUCCAACAUGGGGCCUUCUGCAGACCGCAGGGACCCCCAACAAUUACUUGUUGGAAGAACAAAUGAAGCAUAAAGCAUGAUACUUUAUUUUAAACAUACAGGUGGCACAAAUUUAUUUCCAAAGAUUUAAGCACCUGAUGACUUCUCCUUAGAGAAAAAGCAAUAAAAGGAGCCUCUUCUGUCACAAAUUUCCACUUAGCAUGGUUUGUGCAGAGGCAGAAUUUCAGGCUUUUACCACUGAGCUCUGGACAUGAAGCAAAGCUAACACUAGAGGGUGCUAUAGAUUAGGAAAUCCAGGGACCAUGGGCGCCGGAGCGCGUUCAAGACGCUGCCCUCCCGAUUGUAACCUAACAAACUGAGCGUGUCACUUUGCCAGAAUUUACCCCUUCACCAUUUCUGCUAUGAUGAAAUUAUCCAGAUAUGUUUAAUUUGAAAUUUUAACUUAGUCUGUGAUUAUGUGGAAUUUCAACACUGGCUGUGGCCCAGUGCAGUGGCUCACUCACACCUGUAAUCCCAGUGCUUUGGGAGGCCAAGUCUGGUGGAUAAUUUGUGGUCAGGAGUUCGAAACCAGCCUGGCCAACAUGGUGAAACCCUGUCUCUCCUAAAAAUACAGAAAUUAGCCUGGUGCCUGUAAUCCCAGCUACUCGGGAGGCUGAGGCAGGAGAAUUGCUUGAACCCUCAGGAGGCAGAGGUUGCAGUGAGCCGAGAUCACGCCACUGCACUCCAGUCCUGUCUAAAAAAAAAAAAAAAAAAAAAAAGGACUGAGCCCAGGUCUGUAGGAUAGACACUUUGUGUUUGUAUCUUAAGUACUUUGCGAUCUCACCCUUACAAACCUGAUACUAAAUUCCACUUACCUACUUCAGUCCUUCUCUGAGGGAAGGUGGAGUUUGGAGGCAAUUUUAGGAAGCAGGAUGAGGAAACAGGGAAGGUGACACAGUGAAGGACAAGCCAACACAAGGGUGGAUUACCAAGGCUGGUCCCCUCUACAGGCACCCAGGGCUCGGUCCCACGCGGACUGCUGAGUAGACAGAAGACCUUUCAGAAUCUUCUGCCUCUCCCCCAUUUGCUGAGAGUUCCCUGGGAACGGUAACCCCCGUACCUUCGGGCUGAACAUAUGUUUGCAUGCUGAAUGGGCUCUUUCUGCCAUCCCAUGCCACAGCAUUCAGGAAGCCCUGGGGCCAAAGCAAACAGCAUGCUUGAGGCAAGGUGCUGUGAGGCCCAAAUGAGCUGAAGCUUGCACAAAACUGCUCACCACUGCCAUAGCUGAAUCAGCGGAGGCCAGGAGGAUGCGAGGCGGUGCCCGUGAUUGUCUGAUCAUCUCCCUCUUGGACCGCUGAGACUCAGGCAUGCCCUGCAUCAAAUCCAACCUGUCACCAGGUCUUCAAGGGGGAGGCCUGCGGAAAUCCUACUGUGAAUGAAACUACAGUUGCUAUUCAUCGUCUCCCUCCUGCACCUACCACUCCAGAUGUCCCUCACUCUUGGCCAGCACUUUGGCUUGUUUAAGUUGUGUGCCAGGUGAGGUGACCACACCUUCCCCCCUGCAGUUUCUGAGUCUUUCCUGAGCUUUGUCUUGGUUGGCCCUUGGCUGCUGUGACUGCCUAUUUUAUCUAAUUGCAGGUUCAAGAUUCACCAAGAAGGCAGGGCGCAGUGGCUCACAUCUGUAAUCCCAGCACUUUGGGAGGCUGAAGCAGGCAGAUCACUUCAGCCCAGGAGUUUGAGACCAGCCUGGGCAACAGAGCAAGACCCCAUCUCUAAAGAAAAAUAAUUAUUCAGGUGUGGUGGCACAUGCCUGUAGUCCCAGCUACUCAGGAGG